rnacentral:rRNA from 1 species
CGUUCAACCGCAAAACAAGCAGAGGGGGCUUAGUGGUGGGGUGACUGCGUACCUUUUGUAUAAUGGGUCAGCGACUUAUAUUCUGUAGCAAGGUUAACCGAAUAGGGGAGCCGGAGGGAAACCGAGUCUUAACCGGGCGUUAAGUUGCAGGGUAUAGACCCGAAACCCGGUGAUCUAGCCAUGGGCAGGUUGAAGGUUGGGUAACACUAACUGGAGGACCGAACCGACUAAUGUUGAAAAAUUAGCGGAUGACCUGUGGCUGGGGGUGAAAGGCCAAUCAAACCGGGAGAUAGCUGGUUCUCCCCGAAAGCUAUUUAGGUAGCGCCUCGUGAAUUCAUCUCCGGGGGUAGAGCACUGUUUCGGCUAGGGGGCCAUCCCGGCUUACCAACCCGAUGCAAACUGCGAAUACCGGAGAAUGUUAUCACGGGAGACACACGGCGGGUGCUAACGUCCGUCGUGAAGAGGGAAACAACCCAGACCGCCAGCUAAGGUCCCAAAGUCAUGGUUAAGUGGGAAACGAUGUGGGAAGGCCCAGACAGCCAGGAUGUUGGCUUAGAAGCAGCCAUCAUUUAAAGAAAGCGUAAUAGCUCACUGGUCGAGUCGGCCUGCGCGGAAGAUGUAACGGGGCUAAACCAUGCACCGAAGCUGCGGCAGCGACACUCAGGUGUUGUUGGGUAGGGGAGCGUUCUGUAAGCCUGUGAAGGUGUGUCGUGAGGCAUGCUGGAGGUAUCAGAAGUGCGAAUGCUGACAUAAGUAACGAUAAAGCGGGUGAAAAGCCCGCUCGCCGGAAGACCAAGGGUUCCUGUCCAACGUUAAUCGGGGCAGGGUGAGUCGACCCCUAAGGCGAGGCCGAAAGGCGUAGUCGAUGGGAAACGGGUUAAUAUUCCCGUACUUGGUGUUACUGCGAAGGGGGGACGGAGAAGGCUAUGUUGGCCGGGCGACGGUUGUCCCGGUUUAAGCGUGUAGGUGUGUGUUCCAGGUAAAUCCGGUUCACUUUAACACUGAGGCGUGACGACGAGGCACUACGGUGCUGAAGCAACAAAUGCCCUGCUUCCAGGAAAAGCCUCUAAGCAUCAGGUAACAUCAAAUCGUACCCCAAACCGACACAGGUGGUCAGGUAGAGAAUACCAAGGCGCUUGAGAGAACUCGGGUGAAGGAACUAGGCAAAAUGGUGCCGUAACUUCGGGAGAAGGCACGCUGACACGUAGGUGAAGUGAUUUACUCAUGGAGCUGAAGUCAGUCGAAGAUACCAGCUGGCUGCAACUGUUUAUUAAAAACACAGCACUGUGCAAACACGAAAGUGGACGUAUACGGUGUGACGCCUGCCCGGUGCCGGAAGGUUAAUUGAUGGGGUCAGCGCAAGCGAAGCUCCUGAUCGAAGCCCCGGUAAACGGCGGCCGUAACUAUAACGGUCCUAAGGUAGCGAAAUUCCUUGUCGGGUAAGUUCCGACCUGCACGAAUGGCGUAAUGAUGGCCAGGCUGUCUCCACCCGAGACUCAGUGAAAUUGAACUCGCUGUGAAGAUGCAGUGUACCCGCGGCAAGACGGAAAGACCCCGUGAACCUUUACUAUAGCUUGACACUGAACAUUGAGCCUUGAUGUGUAG